rnacentral:lncRNA from 1 species
UUCAUUUCUUUUGGCCGAAAAUUCUAAGGAAGAAGGAAGGAGUUCUUGCUUCAUGUUCGGUUGGUUGGUGUUUAGGAGGAGGAAAUGUUGAAGAGAUUCGGCCAUGCUUGUAGCUAGGUUAAGCUCAAGAGCUUAGAGGACCAAAGUUGGAUAAAGGAAAGGAAAAAGUGAUCGAAUAGCCGCCGAAAUCGUUCGACAACAUCCGAG